rfam:Triticum urartu cultivar G1812 contig464038, whole genome shotgun sequence.
GAACUAUUCCCUCUGUUCCAAAUUACUCGUCGCAGAAAGGGAUGUAUUUAGAACUAAAAUACAUCUAGAUACAUCCAUUUCUGCGACGAGUAAUUCAGAACGGAGGGAGUAGUAC